AUGGAGAUGGCUGAAAGAGCAGAGACAGAGUACACAGAAUCUGACACAUUUUGUGAUUCACCCAGGAGAGGGAAAAAAAAAAAAUCUAAGAAAGACAAAUGUCUAAAAAAGAACAAAACCCACAGGACAGAGUUGAAAGACACUUGUAUUGAAGAGAAAAAGAAAACCAAAAAGGCCAAAGGUACUAGGAAGAAGAAAAAGAAGGGAAAAGUAGCCCUGGGAUUACAAGAUAGCUAUUUUCUUUUUGAGGGAAACAGUGCACCAAACUCUCCAAUAAAGCCAAUUAAGUCUAGGGGGAAGUCCACUGUAAAAUUUGCUGUAAAACAUUACAUUAAGAAACAGGAACCUGUGCUGGUGGUUAGUGACUUAGUGAAGGUACCCAAGAAGAAGGCCCAGAGAAAAAAGAAAGUUGCAUUUGAUUUAUUCCCUGACUACAUACAAGCAAAACAGCCAGAAGUAGUCAAGUGUUGCACCUCAACAACCAAAGAUACUUUCCCCUGGGAAAGCCCCAAGAGUGACAAUGAAAGCAACUUUUCUGGGACUUAUCAGUGUGGAGAGGGGCAAGAACAGGGAACCGAGUAUGGAAAGGGACAAACCAACUCUCAAAGUACUGCUGAAGAUGCCAACAGUGAGGACCUGUUCAUAACUCAGAAGAAAUUCAGAGUACUAACAUCUUCAGAUCACUCCAGCAGUGGAGGCACUGGUGAAGCCAACACCACAAAAUUGGCCAGGCAUACCAAGUCACUCAUAGAGCCAAAAGAGGAGCUGCUCUGGAAGUCAACAUCUGAGACAGCCACUCAAACAGAGAACUUCUUUACCUCAGAGAUCUCCACAUUCCUCAGGUUUCACCAGUCGUGUGGAGCUGCCGAGUGCUCAGAGCAACCUACUGACCUGUCUCUCCCUAACAGGACGAGGGCAGAGAUGGGCAUACAUCCCCCAUCUAAAAAAAAAGCCAAUGAAGAGGAAACCAGCCCCCCACUUGGCCAGAAGUCAGACACAACGUCAAGUGAGGAGAAUGACCCAUUCUGGCGGUGCAAGAGUCAAGUUAAGGCAGUUCAGAUGAGACUGAAUGAAUCUUUCUUCUUUAAGAUGAAGGGCGAGGGACAGUCCCCAAGACCACAAUCUCCCUUGAUGAAACUUACACAGGCCUGUGGUAGGAAGAAAACAAAAAAGUAA
rnacentral:lncRNA from 1 species